rnacentral:lncRNA from 1 species
GUUAGGCACAGAGAGGUUAGGAGGUUAAGCUACUUAAGGAACCACAACCAGGAAGCAGCAGAACCAGGAUUCAAGCCCAAACAGCCUGACCGCAGGGCCCAGCCCUCCUCUCCCCUCUGGCCCAUUGCCUCUCCCAGAGAUCAUGGCAUCCCCAACCCCCUGCCUGUACAGGCCCCAGGACAGGCCAGACAUUGCUCGGCCUCAGGGCCUUUGUAGCUAAUAUUCAUUUUAGAAAGUUUUUCUCCCGUCCUUUCAGGUCAUCUCUGUGAAGACAUUCUGAACUCCUCUGAGGGACUGGGAACUCUCUCCUUGUAUCCUGGGAAGGCCUGUCCCAGAUAAGGGGGACUGGGACUGGGGGAGGAGNNNNNNNNNNNNNNNNNNNNNNNNNNNNNNNNNNNNNNNNNNNNNNNNNAGGCUAGCUGCCUUUCAGCAUUCUGGAACACAUGCAGAUGGGCAGUGGGUUUAUUUGCUCUCUGCCCAGUUUUCCAGUCCAUUGUGGUUGACUGGUCAGGGGAUACAAAAGAACCAUACCCUGGGAUCAGAGGCCACACGGACAACAAAGGAACUGUCCUUCACUAGGUGACCAGGAGUGCUGUCCAACCCCUGGAGAUGAGGGAUCCUGAGCCCUGCUGGCCUUCACUAUGAAGCUGGUGGGCUCGGGGCACCCCCCCCCAUGGCCACUGCAACCCUUGGGUGUUCACCCCACAUGUGCACACAUGCUGUCAUCCAGGACACCAACAGCCCAGUGAACAGGGCAGCCCUGUCCACACAGGAAGAAACCAAGGCUCCUCUGUGCCCUCAGCGUCACCCCACACUCAGCGCUGCUCUGACCCUGGACUCAGCUCUAAUAGGGACGGAGGCCAGCACUUGGCCCCUCACACAUGAAGGUCCAAAGGCUGCGCGUGUCAGACGUAGCCCUGGAAUUCUCACCCCCCACCCUGAACAGGCACCUAAUGUUGGCCAGGUACACAUUCCCAGGACACCUCUGGGGCCUGCGUCUCCACGCGUCUUAUGUUCUCUUCACUCCCAGAGAAAUUCUUUGGUGGAAAAGGCAGGUGCCCUCAGAGCUGUAGGUCAGAAUUUGCUUGCUACCACCUGGAGAGUGUCUUCAAAGAGAGUGUUCUGCUCAACAUCAUUUAUGCUUAAAAAAAGAAAGCACGACUUAGGGGAGAUGACCUGCCCUUGUAAGAGCGCUCGGAGAUUUCUCUUUAAGUCUGUCAGGCACAGCAAUUAACAUUACAAAAGGUUCAUUUCCAUACACUUGGUGAAAAAGGUGGACCCUGUAUUGUUACAUUAUGACUGGCCUGCCCAACUUAAUG